AUACAUUGAUAGAAGUACUUUGAAGUGGAAAAAAAUGGCGAAACUAGGUGUCAGCAAUCACAGAAGAGACGAAAAAUAUUAAGGCGGUUGGGAGUCGUUUUUAGGGUCAGCUGAAGAAUCAGAGGAUCUGCAGUAGACAAUAAAAUAAAGAUUAAGUUCUAUUUCCCGCUGCCUGGAGCCAUUGGAGCUAUUACAACCAUAGUGUCAUGGGCAGUUUAUAAUCCCUACCCUCUUCUUCAACUUAACUCACAACUUUAUCAAAGUUUUUAUUUUUAAACCUGUCAUAAAAAUUAGAAAAAAUAUGAGCUGUGUUUUUGUUUUUUAGAAAAUGUGUGCUUUGAUUUUGUUAUUUAUUGUUAAACAUAACGAACAUUAUUAAAAAACAAACUGAUGCGCUUUUUUUGGUACCUAAUUUAAAUUAAAAAAAAAUACAUGUAAGAUGAGAAAAAUAAUUGACGAUUGUAGGACGUUACUGAUGAUUCAUUAUUUCCAUUAUUGUUGUUAUUGCUGUUGUUGCACAAGCUUUUGAAAUUGCAGAUGAUCUUGAUACACUUCAAUUAAGGACACUGUCUACUAAAUACAUAUUGCUGCUGUUGUUG